GGGAAAUUCAGAGACAACUCUAUUGGAGGUGAAGAGUAGCAUUCAAAUUUCUACAAUGCGGUAUUUGUAUUUACUGCGCAAAUUCUUCUAUUUGACAAGUUGAACAUCCUAAAAACAUUCAGAUGGAAAAGCAAGAAACAACCAGUGCAUUUAUGUUAAAAAAAAAAAAAAACACUUCAAGCAAAAGGAGAAGAAAACAAAAUAUAAGUCUACCUAGAUCUAUGAAGAUGUUAGCAUCUAAAACUUGCGCACAUUUCCUGUGGUACUACUACAUCCCCACUCCUCUCCCUUGGAAAAGAGGAGGAAAAUCAACUUCAUCCUUCAGACGAUAUGAAUUCUGUGCAAUCCUUUCUUGCUCAUUUUCUAAAACUGGUUCAGACCCCUCUGCUGCCGUUUCUACUGGGAUUGAAGCAGAGCCCCAUGUACAUGAAAUGCCAGAAUAAAGUGGGGUGAUCCUUUCUGGCAUGGACUCUUCAUGCCGUUGAAGGCCCUCAGACCCAGAAUCAAUUCUUUCAGAUAGGCGAGAGAAGCCAUUGGCAUUGAAAGAACCCCACACGGAUGACUGAGAUAUCCGAAUCUCUGAUGGUACAGGCUUUCCAUUCCCCAGAUAUGGGUAUUCUGCCUCUGAAAGCUCAUGGCCAGAUUUAGAAGAAUUUCUCUCUUGUGAAGUUGCAGCUAACACAUUAUCAUGAGUGUGCUUAUGCAGCUCACCAUUUCCUCCUGCAGUCUGGUUCUUCCCUCUUCCUGAAGGCAGCCUAUCCCAAUUUGAAUGAUAACUCAUGCUGGGAAUGUAUGUUCCUGUUCCUCGUCGUUUUCUCUUUUCUUCAGAAUUGAAAGCAGCACUCAGUGGUGCUGGAGGGUUCAAAGAGUAUCUUUGUUGUCUCGAAACACCAUUUUUGUUCAUUUGAGAUUGAACAUUCUGUUUCAAUUGUAAGGAUUGACGGACAGUUUCCCAAGGAUUUUUAUUAUCAGACUGAGGUAACAUGGGAGGAAAGAGUAGUAUGGGAGCAGAUACAGCAUAGAAAUGGCAAUAUUGACCAAAUACCACACUCCUAAAGUGGCUUUCAUAAUCUCCAUUGAGGUCCAAUAAGGAUUUGAAAGAUUGAGAGUUCCCAGAAAUGCUAGCAAAGUCUCUUUCCCCAAUAGUAGGAGUUAGGUUCUCUGCUGAGGUGUUAUUGACAAGAAUUGCAAUUGCUGAACCCAAAGCAGCUUUACCCUCGUGAUUAGCACAUGAACAGGUUGAAUUGUUAACCACAAAAUGGUUCUCUUUGGAUUCUGACCUUAAUGUGCAGCCAAUUGCACCAUCAGUCAUUUUUCCAUAGGAUAUCUUAUUUUCAAAAUUUCCAUUUUCUCCACAUGAUGUCUCACAAAGUUGAUCGCUACUGUAAUCAACAGUUGAUUUCAGAAGCAUACUACCUUCAGAGCUUUUAUCAGAAAAUGAUGAUGAGGAUGAAUUAUCAGAAUUUCCACUGCCAGAUACUACACAAGACUUUUGAACAUGACUCCAAUAAUUGCGCCCAUGUCCGUCCAAAGUAUUUUCAAAGAACUUGUUGAGCUCAUUGAUCAUUUUCUCACUUGGUAAUGAAAGAAUCCGGCUAAGAAUGCGAGCUCCAUAUUUGAAAGCACCCUGUAUUCGAUGGAAGCUAGCUCUGUUUACACUGCGGCCCAAGUUGUUAUUUUCUUUCAGAGAAUCAACUACAUUUAGAUGCUUCAGGGGAAAAGGCCGUGAAUUGAUCUCAGGACUCCUUGAUGGUAUUGAGAACAUAUCCACACAUUUUCUAAGAAAUUCAUCACUAAGCAACAAUUCAUCCUUCCCAUUUUCAGGUGGCUCAGCGACAAUGUUGGGAAGAGAAGAUUUGCAAACUGGCCCAUUUAUACUAAUACAAUAAUUAUCCCAAUCGAACUUGCUGAAGUAAUCCAGGAAUUUGUACAGAACUGCCAAAGGCCCACUUAAGGAAGUGUGAAAUACGUGGAGGAUAUACAAAACUAGUGUUUCCAAAGCAUAUGUUGAAAUUAAACCAUGAUGGGCACCAAGAAUACGACUCUCAUAAUAACAC
rnacentral:misc_RNA from 1 species